rnacentral:rRNA from 1 species
GGACUACUCGGGUUUCUAAUCCUGUUUGCUACCCACGCUUUCGUGUCUCAGCGUCAGUUACGGUCCAGAUAGCCGUCUACACCACCGGUGUUCCUCCUGAUAUCUACGCAUUUCACCGCUACACCAGGAAUUCCACUAUCCUCUCCCGCACUCUAGUCUUUCAGUAUUCGGCGCACCCUCCCAGUUGAGCCGGGAGAUUUCACACCAAACUUAGAAGACCGCCUACACACCCUUUACGCCCAGUAACUCCGAACAACGCUUGCUGCCUACGUAUUACCGCGGCGGCUGGCAC